AACGAACGCUAUCGGUAUGCUUAACACAUGCAAGUCGGACGGACUAAUUAGGGCUUGCUCCAAUUAGUUAGUGGCAGACGGGUGAGUAACACGUGGGAAUCUGCCCAUCAGUACGGAAUAACUUUUAGAAAUAAAAGCUAAUACCGUAUAUUCUCUACAGAGGAAAGAUUUAUCGCUGAUGGAUGAGCCCGCGUCAGAUUAGGUAGUUGGUGAGGUAACGGCUCACCAAGCCGACGAUCUGUAGCUGGUCUGAGAGGAUGAUCAGCCACACUGGGACUGAGACACGGCCCAGACUCCUACGGGAGGCAGCAGUGGGGAAUAUUGGACAAGGGGCGAAAGCCUGAUCCAGCAAUACCGAGUGAGUGAUAAAGGCCCUAGGGUUGUAAAGCUCUUUUAGCAAGGAAGAUAAUGACGUUACUUGCAGAAAAAGCCCCGGCUAACUCCGUG
rnacentral:rRNA from 1 species